CUUAAUCUUGUCAACAAAUCCCUCCUUAUGUUCUUCUUCUCCAUGAUGUUGUUCUCCUUUGUACACACCACCUUGUCCUCCUAUCAACCCAUGUUGUUCACCUUUGUACUCACCACCACCAUGUCCUCCAACAAAUCCAUGUUGUUGUUCUCCUUUGUACUCACUACCAUGAUGUUGUUCUCCUCCUACAUAGCCAUGUUGUUGUUCUCCUCCUACAUAGCCAUGUUGUUGUUCUCCUCCAACAUGUCC
rnacentral:lncRNA from 1 species